AAUCAAAUGCUCACUACCUAUCCUUCUAAAACUUCCGCGGGAAUUUGUAGAAGCUCCACAUUAUGCUAAUCACUAAAUCGAGUUUUAAGUUUUUACAAACCAAUUAACCCCCCUCUCUAGGCCUUUCCUAUCCUUUGGACGGUGCAACUGUUACAUCGUCUUCUUCUUUAUGUCUACUACAUCAUCUUAUUUUUUUGUGUGUCUACUACAUCCUUUAAAAGGUGGCAACCGCUUUUUAUUUUCUUUUUUUCUUAGCUUGGUAAACCUAUAUAAGAACUUGUUAGUUUGGUUAUAGGUAGAACCAAACAAAAAAACCAAAAUCAAAUUUUGUUGAUUCUCGUUUUUGAAAAAAACCUUUCGGUCCUGAUUCUUAUGAUAUGGACAACCCACAUAUCAGUUCAAGCCAGCCAUGAAUGACAAUAGGUUGGAAUUAACAUAAUAUUAUGGUAUAGAAAGAAAAAUGAUCGAUUUGGAAUUUUUCAUAUUUAUGAAAUCAAUGACAGCUUUUAUAUUUGGCUGGGUUCAUAAAUGAUAUCGUAUAGUAAACGAUUCAAGCUGAUUGAUGGAUGAGAUGAGCAUGCUAGGGUCUAUUGCAAUGACAGUGAUUCAAAAGUGUACAAAGAUGCGUUGUUACAAUACUUGGACCGUAUAUGCACGAAUAAGCAAGUUCUUGUAUCAAAUUAAACUUAUGAGAAGAUUGUGGAUCAAUAUGCACCCACCUAUAUUGUUGUUGUAUU
rnacentral:lncRNA from 1 species